AGCCUGAACGCUGGCGGCGUGGCUAAGACAUGCAAGUCGCGCGGACGUAGCAAUACGUUAGUGGCGAACGGGUGAGUAAUGAAUCGCUAAUGUGCCCCGGACUCUGGGAUAGCCAGCCGAAAGGCUGGGUAAUACCAGAUGAUAUGCAGCGGUCGCAUGACCGUUGCCUCAAAGGUCCGCCGGUCUGGGAGCAGGCGAUUUUGUAUCAGCUAGUUGGUGAGGUAACGGCUCACCAAGGCGACGACGCAUAGCCGGACUGAGAGGUUGGCCGGCCACAUUGGGACUGAGACACUGCCCAGACUCCUACGGGGGGCUGCAGUAACGAAUCUUCCGCAAUGUACGAAGUAUGACGGAGCGACGCCGCGUGUAGGACGAAGCCCUUCGGGGUGUAAACUCCUGUCAGGGGAAAGAAGUUCUGAUCUACCCCAGAGGAAGAGGCGGCUAACUCUGCGCCAGCAGCCGCGGU
rnacentral:rRNA from 1 species